GGAUGUGAGGACUAUCUGAUCGCCAGGGUUGAUUUGGCUGAUAUGGCUAGCUAGGCUUAUCCCCUUCCUCCCUCACAGCUUUAUGUAUGUAUCAGUGGAAGAGAUGGCCUUCCCUGAAUAGAGAGUAACCUGUCUUCAUUCGAGGAAGUAGCUGCACCCUCCAAACAAGCUCUCAAAUUAUAGAUUCAUUAAUUUAUAAGUAGUCAUCUCAACAUUUAAUAUUAGUUUGCAUUUCAGCAUACUUUAACCUUU
rnacentral:snRNA from 1 species